UAGGGAAUCUUCGGCAAUGGACGAAAGUCUGACCGAGCAACGCCGCGUGAGUGAAGAAGGUUUUCGGAUCGUAAAACUCUGUUGUUAGAGAAGAACAAGGACGUUAGUAACUGAACGUCCCCUGACGGUAUCUAACCAGAAAGCCACGGCUAACUACGUGCCAGCAGCCGCGGUAAUACGUAGGUGGCAAGCGUUGUCCGGAUUUAUUGGGCGUAAAGCGAGCGCAGGCGGUUUCUUAAGUCUGAUGUGAAAGCCCCCGGCUCAACCGGGGAGGGUCAUUGGAAACUGCGAGACUUGAGUGCAGAAGAGGAGAGUGGAAUUCCAUGUGUAGCGGUGAAAUGCGUAGAUAUAUGGAGGAACACCAGUGGCGAAGGCGGCUCUCUGGUCUGUAACUGACGCUGAGGCGCGAAAGCGUGGGGAGCAAACAGG
rnacentral:rRNA from 1 species